rnacentral:rRNA from 1 species
AGUGAACGCUGGCGGUAGGCCUAACGCAUGCAAGUCGAACGGCAGCACAGUAAGAUCUUGCUCUUACGGGUGGCGAGUGGCGGACGGGUGAGGAAUACAUCGGAAUCUACUUUUUCGUGGGGGAUAACGUAGGGAAACUUACGCUAAUACCGCAUACGACCUACGGGUGAAAGCAGGGGAUCUUCGGACCUUGCGCGAUUGAAUGAGCCGAUGUCGGAUUAGCUAGUUGGCGGGGUAAAGGCCCACCAAGGCGACGAUCCGUAGCUGGUCUGAGAGGAUGAUCAGCCACACUGGAACUGAGACACGGUCCAGACUCCUAAGGGAGGCAGCAGUGGGGAAUAUUGGACAAUGGGCGCAAGCCUGAUCCAGCCAUACCGCGUGGGUGAAAAAGGCCUUCGGGUUGUAAAGCCCUUUUGUUGGGAAAGAAAAGCAGCAGGUUAAUACCCCGCUGUUCUGACGGUACCCAAAGAAUAAGCACCGGCUAACUUCGUG